rnacentral:snRNA from 1 species
UUCAACCUAGUACGAGAGG